rnacentral:rRNA from 1 species
AUGUACAAUCACUCCCAUUUCGGUUGCUCUAAUUGGGAAGCUCUCUGCAACUCAUAUGGAUUUGACGAGGGUAUGCAAAUAACAUUUGAUGUUCGUCCCGAAGAUGAUGAUGAUAAUAUCGAUAUCUGGGUGGAUGUGGAUAUGCCUUCAGUUUUGCCUAAAUCUUAUUUCGUAUCUUCCAAAAAUACUCGAGAGGCUGUAGACAGGACAUACUACAGCUAUGACUCCGAGCUUAAUUGUGAGGAGAAAGGUUAUCUUGUCUCAUUCAUAGAUGAUGUUGAGGCCUUUAAAACCAAUCAUUUUAUCCUCCCAAAUUUUACUCGAUACGUGCCACUAGUGCAUAAAUUGCAUGAUGGUAACUUCAUUGCCAAAAACUUGGUAAGAUUUUGUUAA